rnacentral:lncRNA from 1 species
GAUGAAACCGCCCGGCGAAAAAAAGCAUAAUAACCCGGCAUUUUUCUCAAUUCCUCACAUUCGUUUUCGAGAUCUGAUCGACUUCGUUCAUAGUUUUUACUCUUCACCAACAAAUCUACUCAAUAAUCCAUCAAAAUGGCAGAUGUUGAACCUAAGACCGUUGAACCCGUCGCUGAACAAAAGAGCGAAGAAGUUCCUGCAGCUGAGGCUGAAGCCACUCCCGCAGCCGAGACCACCGAAACCCCCAAGGAUGGAGGUGAUUCUGCCGCUGAUGAGAGCAAAGAAGAGGAAAAGAAGGAAGAAUCUUCGUAAAGGUGUACACUAUCACACCUCUACACGUCAUAGUUCAUCCCUUCCGCUCCAUCUUCGUACAUAACAACCUUUUAAGAAUCCCUUAAUUUUUAUUAGAAAAUUAAUUAUUUACCCUAAUUUAUGAAAUAUCUUUGAAUUACAUUUUCUAUCUGAAAAAAAAUAAAAAUAAAUAAAAUAAAAUAAUUUGUGAUCUUCGCCGGCGAUGUAUACAGCAGAAGAAAAACAGAAGAUAUCAUUUUUAUUAAAUAUAUUUUUUUUAAAAAAAAAUAUCACUAAUUUUUUAUUAUGUUUUGUGAAAAAGUAUUAUAUUAAUUAUGUAUGUGCAGACUUAUAUAUUUACACUUUUUACGGAUAUAUUUUAAAGUUAGAAUGAAGGAAAAAAUUAUGAAAAAAAAAUUUAAAAUAAAUGAAAUCUUUUUUUAGUUUCGAAACAACAAUGAUCGACCUUAAUUUGUCAAAACUUUUAUUAAAUCAUACUUAUAUAUUUUUAUUACGAAAUGCGUAGAUUAAAAAUAUUUUACUAUAUAUAUUUUUUAUUACCCCUGUAUGAAUUUUUUAUCGGAUGAGAUGUUACAAAAAUUAACUUGUUAGUAGUUGAUACUUUUUUAAACAUUUCUCGUAUCAUUUUUUAUAACAAAAAAAAAAAAAAAUUAAUAUACUUUAUAUCAUAUUGCAAUGAAUUAAGUUAUUUAUUAUGCAAUAAUAAUUUAUGGGACUCCGGGUCAAGGGCAAGAUAUUUUCUUCUCAACUGCAUUUGUGGUGCAUUUUAGUAAUGAACUUAUUUUAGAAAAAGUUCAUGCCUGUAUGGGUACCUCUUUCCAUCAAAUAUCCAUAUUUGACUUAUGACUACUUUUUAAAAUAUCUACGAAAAUAACUCAAAAGUUUCCACUCGACUCAAAUCCUCCGUAGUACUGACUCUGAUUAUCAUACACACAUUGACUACGAUUAAUUUUUUACGUAAGUGUUGAUUGACGAAAAUCAUUACUUUUUUUACAUUUAACCUACGAUUGAGAGGCCUCUUUUUACAUACAUGAUUUGCAUGUUUGUAAGUCAUUUCAACAUUACAAAUAUCUUUUUAAUCAUUCAACGUAGGAAAUGUAGGCAAUUCCGCGUAUAUAUAUAUAUAUAUAUAUGUAUAUUGAAGCCACCCAAGGAAUUAGUGUAAAGUUAUGAGUCAUUCACUACUAGAGAAAAAAAUGAAAGUAUUUUCUACAAAUCCGGAAAUAAUUUUGCAUAAUAGCUGCAACUAUGGAUUGUUUUUUUAAAAAGUAAAUAUCUAAGUCCUUCAUAUUUUAUAUUCUUAUGGGUUAUAGUAUAAUCUAUUCUAAAGUCCGAGUCCUUACAUAAGAGUUAUGACUAAUGUUGGAUCGGUGUUAAAGAGGGCAUUCCUAUCAGUUCCGUGCCUAAUAAAAAAAUGGAGUCUAAGGAUCGGUCUGUUAUGGUAGCUAUGAUAGUUUAAAUAUUGUAGUUUACUAACUACGUCACAGUAGACAUUCAUUUUGCCAAGUACUUCUGGUUUGACGAAUGAGCAUAAUAUGAGGCAAGAACCAUAGUUCCAUCAUUAUUCCAAGACAAAACAUCCAUUUUAUAUAUUUUACAAUUACAAUAAACAUUAUACAUCUUGACUAAAUAUUUCAAAAGUCACCUCAAUUUCAACCAAAAACAAAUAAUAAUGACGUAUAAAUCUUACUUAUUAUUAUAUUAAGGUGAAAUAUUCUUGAGGCAAACCAGCUCUAAGGAAAAAUGUCCUAUUUUGAGGCAAAAAGACCGGGUUCUGAAAAAUAGAAAGAAUCCUAGAAAUUUUAAAGAAGAACAAACGAUCAACUUUUAAGGAAAAAAGCUAAUUAAGUUCACUAAACCUUGAUUAAAAAUGGCUAAAUAUACGAAUAAUUCCUCUACGAGGAUUAUAAAUAAAGAAUUACAUAUAUUCAGAUUUAAUAUUUUAGAAGGAUAGAGAAAAGUAUUGACGAUAAAGUUUAGAUUGAAACGAAUAAGACACAUUUUAUAAGUUUGGGGGUUCAUAAUACAGGGUGAGCAGUCUAUAUAUACUGUCACCUUAGCGUGCUCUAUUGGGCAAACGCAGGCACUGAAGGAGCUGAUUUUUUGUUGUUGUAUAUAGCUUGUUCAAACAUGCAACAGCUGAAAAUAAAUGGAAUGAAUUGACGAAUUCGUUGUCUCAAAUAUUUGAAAAAG